ensembl:lncRNA
GUGAUCACAGUCUUUAUUACUCUGAUGGAGAGAAGUGACAUUACUGAUUAUUAAAUGAACACUUACGAGAAAUAGAUCUUGAGUUUUUGUAAUUGUUAUUUGCAGGGAUUCUCUUAUCAUGUCAACACAGAGGAUUGUUUCACUGGCAUACAGUGUGUAUCUGGGAGGGUUACAGAAUUCAUUUCCUGUAACUGCAUGGAGGCUGUCACCAUGCCACUUGAGGACCAUGUGCAACCCUUUGAAAAGUUGACUUGCACGUACCUGUUUGUGGGAGCAGAUGGUCAGGUGGACACUUCCACUUGGGUUCAGGAUCAUGAAGAUAACUCUCCCUACAGCGAUUCAGAGAGUGAACCAGACACUGAAGUGGGUUGACCAACAAGUCCAUGAAGCUCUUGAAGUAGA